ACAAUGAAGAGUUUGAUCCUGGCUCAGGAUGAACGCUAGCUACAGGCUUAACACAUGCAAGUCGAGGGGCAUCAGGGUGUAGCAAUACGCCGCUGGCGACCGGCGCACGGGUGAGUAACACGUAUCCAACCUGCCCUUUACUCGGGGAUAGCCUUUCGAAAGAAAGAUUAAUACCCGAUGGCAUAACAUGACCUCCUGGUUUUGUUAUUAAAGAAUUUCGGUAGAGGAUGGGGAUGCGUUCCAUUAGGCAGUUGGCGGGGUAACGGCCCACCAAACCUUCGAUGGAUAGGGGUUCUGAGAGGAAGGUCCCCCACAUUGGAACUGAGACACGGUCCAAACUCCUACGGGAGGCAGCAGUGAGGAAUAUUGGUCAAUGGGCGAGAGCCUGAACCAGCCAAGUAGCGUGAAGGAUGACCGCCCUAUGGGUUGUAAACUUCUUUUAUAUGGGAAUAAAGGGUGCCACGUGUGGCAUUUUGUAUGUACCAUAUGAAUAAGGAUCGGCUAACUCCGUGCCAGCAGCCGCGGUAAUACGGAGGAUCCGAGCGUUAUCCGGAUUUAUUGGGUUUAAAGGGAGCGUAGGUGGACAUGUAAGUCAGUUGUGAAAGUUUGCGGCUCAACCGUAAAAUUGCAGUUGAUACUGCGUGUCUUGAGUACAGUAGAGGUGGGCGGAAUUCGUGGUGUAGCGGUGAAAUGCUUAGAUAUCACGAAGAACUCCGAUUGCGAAGGCAGCUCACUGGACUGCAACUGACACUGAUGCUCGAAAGUGUGGGUAUCAAACAGGAUUAGAUACCCUGGUAGUCCACACAGUAAACGAUGAAUACUCGCUGUUUGCGAUAUACAGUAAGCGGCCAAGCGAAAGCAUUAAGUAUUCCACCUGGGGAGUACGCCGGCAACGGUGAAACUCAAAGGAAUUGACGGGGGCCCGCACAAGCGGAGGAACAUGUGGUUUAAUUCGAUGAUACGCGAGGAACCUUACCCGGGCUUAAAUUGCAAAUGAAUAUGCCGGAAACGGCAUAGCCGCAAGGCAUUUGUGAAGGUGCUGCAUGGUUGUCGUCAGCUCGUGCCGUGAGGUGUCGGCUUAAGUGCCAUAACGAGCGCAACCCUUAUCUUCAGUUACUAACAGGUCAUGCUGAGGACUCUGGAGAGACUGCCGUCGUAAGAUGUGAGGAAGGUGGGGAUGACGUCAAAUCAGCACGGCCCUUACGUCCGGGGCUACACACGUGUUACAAUGGGGGGUACAGAAGGCCGCUACACAGCGAUGUGAUGCCAAUCCCUAAAGCCCCUCUCAGUUCGGAUCGAAGUCUGCAACCCGACUUCGUGAAGCUGGAUUCGCUAGUAAUCGCGCAUCAGCCACGGCGCGGUGAAUACGUUCCCGGGCCUUGUACACACCGCCCGUCAAGCCAUGGGAGCCGGGGGUACCUGAAGUACGUAACCGCAAGGAGCGUCCUAGGGUAAAACUGGUGACUGGGGCUAAGUCGUAACAAGGUAGCCGUACCGGAAGGUGCGGCUGGAACACCUCCUUU
rnacentral:rRNA from 1 species